CUGAUAACCGAAGCUGCGGAUGGGCGCGUAAGCGUCCCGUGGUAGGGGAGCNUUCUGUAGGUCUGUGAAGGUGUCUCGUAAGGGAUGCUGGAGAUAUCAGAAGUGCGAAUGCUGACAUGAGUAGCGAUAAAGCGGGUGAAAAGCCCGCUCGCCGAAAGCCCAAGGUUUCCUACGCAACGUUCAUCGGCGUAGGGUGAGUCGGCCCCUAAGGCGAGGCUGAAAAGCGUAGUCGAUGGGAAACGGGUUAAAAUUCCCGUACUUUUAUGCAGUGCGAUGUGGGGACGGAGAAGGUUAGGUCAGCGGCCUGUUGGAAUAGGUCGUUCAAGCUGGUAGGUGGUUAGAGUAGGCAAAUCCGCUCUUUCAUUCAACACCGAGAAGUGAUAACGAGGGUCUACGGACCUGAAGUGACUGAUACCACGCUUCCAGGAAAAGCCACUAAGCUUCAGCUGCAUAAGAACCGUACCGCAAACCGACACAGGUGGGCAGGAUGAGAAUUCUAAGGCGCUUGAGAGAACUCAGGAGAAGGAACUCGGCAAAUUGAUACCGUAACUUCGGGAGAAGGUAUGCCUGUUGAGGUGUAUGACUUGCUCACGAACUUUGACAGGU
rnacentral:rRNA from 1 species